rnacentral:rRNA from 1 species
AAAGCCUGCUUGCAGGCGUUGUAGUUGAGCGUCCUCGGGUUGUCAGUGUGGGCAAGUCGCAUGGAAAUGCGCGCCGUGGAGGGUGAGAGCCCCGUCCAACUCACACAGGACAUACCCGCACGAGGGCGUUUCAGAUGAGUCGGGUAGCUUGGGAAUGCUGCUCUAAUCGGUGGUAAAUCUCAUCGAAGGCUAAAUAGCGGCUGGAGACCGAUAGCGAACAAGUACCGUGAGGGAAAGAUGACAAGCACUUUGAAAAGAGGGUGAAAAGAGCCUGAAACCGUCACGGGGGAAGCGGAUUGCGUUGGAUUGAUGGGCGCUUGUGUGUUCAGCCUUCGGGUGCAUUGGCACAAGUGCUUAUCCGCUGUGAGUUUUCGGGGGUCGAUUUUGGACCCCUGGGGACUGAGGGCUCCCUUCUUUUAGGUGAGGACAGCGGAGUGACGACGCGAUACGACCCGUCUUGAAACACGGACCAAGGAGUCUAGCGCGGGUGCGAGUCGGAGGGUGCAAGCCCGUGGGCGAAGUGAAAGCGAGUUUUAAAAACGAGCAGUUUGGGGCGGCAUAAGAUCGUUGAUCUUAAGACCGACCCGGAGCAGUUGCGCUGGGACCCGAAAGAUGGUGAACUAUGCCGGAGUAGGGCAAAGCCAGAGGAAACUCUGGUGGAGGCUCGUAGCGGUGCUGACGUGCAAAUCGCUCGUCGAACUUGGGUAUAGGGGCGAAAGACUAAUCGAACCAUCUAGUAGCUGGUUCCCUCCGAAGUUUCUCUCAGGAUAGCGGGCCGACAAGUUGUUUUGUGCGGUAAAGCGAAUGAUUAGCGCAUUCGGGGGCGUUUAGCCUUUGGGCGAUUCUCAAACUUUCAAUGCGCAAGGGUGCCGCUGCUUAAUUGAGCGGUACCGGUAAAAACGUCGGCCCUGUGGGCCACUUUUGGUAAGCAGAACUGGCGAUACGGGAUGAACCGUAAGCAAGGUUAAGGCGCCAAACUGCCCGCUUAU